rnacentral:rRNA from 1 species
GACGAACGCUGGCGGCGUGCCUAAUACAUGCAAGUCGAACGCAGUGGGGACGGUGAGUAACACGUGGGUAACCUCCCAUCAGAGGGGAUAACACUUGGGAACAGGUGCUAAAACCGAUACUGGUGGUUGGACCCGCGGUGGAUUAGCUAGUUGGUGAGGUACGGGCUCACCAAGGCAACGAUGCAUAGCCGAGUUGAGAGGGCGACCGGCCACACUGGGACUGAGACACGGCCCAGACUCCUACGGGAGGCAGCAGUAGGGAAUUUUGGGCAAUGGAGGAAAGUCUGACCGAGCAACGCCGCGUGAGUGAAGAAGGUUUUCGGAUCGUAAAACUCUGUUGUUAGAGAAGCGGUAUCUACACAGUAAGCCACGGCUAACUACGUGCCAGCAGCCGCGGUAAUUC